rnacentral:lncRNA from 1 species
CCCAAUUCUGUUAGGCUUUUUAUUAUCUCAGUAGUCUCAAGUCAUUUAUAUGAUUACACUAAAAGUGAGCCAUGUAUUACCAGUGUUAUUAUUGAUAUACUAUUAAUGCUAUUGUGUAAUAAUUACUUUCUAAGAAUAUGUCUGGGCCAAUUUUCUUGACGUUGAGGAGGCGCAGGAGAGACCGUUUGUUGUUGAGGAGGCGCGGAGAGACCGUUUGUCUGUUGAGGAUGCGCAGGAGAGACCGUUUGUUUGUUGAGGAUGCGCAGGAGAGACGUUUGUCUGUUGAGGAUGCGCAUGGAGAGAACCGUUUGUUUGUUGAGGAUGUCCGCAGGAGAGACCGUUUGUCUGUUGAGGAUGCGCAGGAGAGACCGUUUGUCUGUUGAGGAUGCGCAGGAGAGACCGUUUGUCUGUUGAGGAUGCGCAGGAGAGACCGUUUGUCUGUUGUUCGUUUUCUGAAGUGCAAUGCGCAGUAUUGGGGACGGAAAGCGUCAUUAACAUUACUUGAAGGUAAGUCCUGUAGAUCUGACAGUAGUUACCCAUCUUUAUAGGGAUGGGUUUUUAUAAAAAUAAAAAAAGCUCUAAGGUGUCUGUUUGCUAUAUUUGAAGCGUCUUAUUUAUUUUUACAAGAUUGUAUUGCAUUUAUCUAAUUUUCUGUAUGUAUUAUUUAAGGUUUUUGUAUUACACAUUAUUUAUAAUUUACAUGUAUGACUAUUUAUAUGGACAUCUAGAAUUUAUGCAACAUCGUUGGACAGACUUUGACAUCAUGGCCCUUCAAUAGGUACACGGGUUUUUGGUGAAUGCUUGUUUUAAAAUAUGCCUUCAGAGGCUGGUGGUCUUAGGUUUGUUGUAGAAGGAUCUCCUACGUGUAAAUCUGGGAAUAUUGGGGAAUUUUUCACGUGUCUCUAUGAAAAACAAAGUUAGGCUACAUGUAGCCCUAUCGAAAUACCGAAUAUUACAGAAAUGAAUCACACCAGUAUGUCAUUUGUUGUCAUUGCCAAUUUUCAUAUCAGGUCAUUGUCAUUUCAUCAGUUGGUUUGUCCAUGCAUACAUUUAUGAAACGCUAAUGAUAUGAAAAUGUUAUAUUUUAAUGUGUUUAACAUUUUGUAAAUAAAGUGCUUAAAUUUACACAGUGGGUUAAAAAGCACCGUUAUUUUCCAUACAUUUAACACACGUAGAAAAAUGUGAAAACAGU